rnacentral:rRNA from 1 species
CCUACGGAGUGCAGCAGUGGGGAAUAUUGCGCAAUGGGCGCAAGCCUGCCGCAGCGACGCCGCGUGAGGGAUGAAGGUCUUCGGAUCGUAAACCUCUGUCAGCAGGGCAGAACGGUCACUGUGCUAAUCAGCAGUGAAUUGACGGUACCUGCAAAGGAAGCACCGGCUAACUCCGUGCCAGCAGCCGCGGUAAUACGGAGGGUGCGAGCGUUAUUCGGAAUUACUUGGCGUAAAGCGCUCGUAGGCGGUAUGUCAAUUCAAGGGUGAAAUCCCCGCGCUCAACGUGGGUACUGCAUUUGAAACUGGCAAACUGGAGUGUGUGAGAGGAUAGUGGAAUUCCAGGUGUAGGAGUGAAAUCCGGAGAUAUCUGGAGGAACAUCAGUGGCGAAGGCGACUAUCUGGCACAUAACUGACGCUGAGGAGCGAAAGCGUGGGUAGCAAACAGGAUUAGAUACCCCGGUAGUC